AACUUUCAACAACGGAUCUCUUGGCUCUCGCAUCGAUGAAGAACGCAGCCCCCCGUGCCCCGCCCGGGGCGCGCCCC
rnacentral:rRNA from 1 species